UACGGAGGAUGCGAGCGUUAUCCGGAUUUAUUGGGUUUAAAGGGUGCGUAGGCGGUCCGGAAAGUCAGCGGUAAAAGCCCGGGGCUCAACCCCGGCGAGCCGUUGAAACUGGCUGUCUUGAGAUGUCGAGAGGUAUGCGGAAUGCGCAGUGUAGCGGUGAAAUGCUUAGAUAUUGCGCAGAACUCCGAUUGCGAAGGCAGCAUGCCGGCUCCACACCGACGCUGAGGCACGAAAGCGUGGGUAUCGAACAGG
rnacentral:rRNA from 1 species